UGAACGCUAGCGACAGGCCUAACACAUGCAAGUCGAGGGGCAGCACAAGGAGCAAUCUGAGGUGGCGACCGGCGCACGGGUGAGUAACACGUAUGCAACCUGCCUGUAAGCGGGGAAUAACCCGUUGAAAGACGGACUAAUACCGCAUAAUACUAAAUUACUGCAUGGUAAUUUAUUUAAACAUUUAUGGCUUACAGAUGGGCAUGCGCAUGAUUAGCUAGUUGGAGAGGUAACGGCUCCCCAAGGCAACGAUCAUUAGGGGUUCUGAGAGGAAGGUCCCCCACACUGGUACUGAGACACGGACCAGACUCCUACGGGAGGCAGCAGUGAGGAAUAUUGGUCAAUGGACGAGAGUCUGAACCAGCCAAGUCGCGUGCAGGAAGAAUGUUCCCUAUGGAUUGUAAACUGCUUUUGCAGGGGAAUAAAGUGCAUCACGUGUGAUGUUUUGUAUGUACUCUGCGAAUAAGGAUCGGCUAACUCCGUGCCAGCAGCCGC
rnacentral:rRNA from 1 species